rnacentral:rRNA from 1 species
CAGCAGCCGCGGUAAUACGUAGGGUGCAAGCGUUAAUCGGAAUUACUGGGCGUAAAGCGUGCGCAGGCGGUGAUGUAAGACAGUUGUGAAAUCCCUGGGCUCAACCUGGGAACUGCAUCUGUGACUGCAUUGCUGGAGUGCGGCAGAGGGGGAUGGAAUUCCGCGUGUAGCAGUGAAAUGCGUAGAUAUGCGGAGGAACACCGAUGGCGAAGGCAAUCCCCUGGGCCUGCACUGACGCUCAUGCACGAAAGCGUGGGGAGCAAACAGGAUUAGAUACCCCUGUAGUCCCUGUCUCUUAUAC